ensembl:lncRNA
AUAAAAAAACAUGUUAAGAAAAGGUUGCUUGAGAAGGGCUCUUCAAAGCAGCAGCAUCUUGCAUUCUUCUCGCGUUCUCGCAGAUCUAAAAAUAGCCUCGACUCUUCACGCUCGCUCGGAUCCAACGGAAGCCGUCGGCGACACGUUGAACCAGAACUCUCACAACAAACAACGAGCGGCCGCCAGAUGUGUUUAAGCUGCAUUUGAGACCCGUCCAACCCUUCACACACACCCACCACCCCCCCCUCCCCCCGCACCUUUCCCCUCAUCCAACUUUCCUUCCCACUACAGACCUUCUCUGACAAAUUAAUGAUCAUGAAGUCACAGUUUCCCCCCUCGGCCUGCACAUUAGAUUUUAUUCACUCGGCUGCGAAUCCGUUUGGUGAUUAAACUGACGAGCAGCCGACGAGAGCAGCGAGGAGAGAAACGCUUCUAUUUAACUAAACAUCUUUCUGAGGAGUCUCCCCUCGGCUUCCCUCUGCUUCUGUGAGCGAACAAUGGGGGGUGUUUGCCCCGGACACGCUUCAGAGGUAGUCAAAACACUUGAGAACGUCCCUUUGAGGUUUGCUGAGCGGAGAGGUUCGAUCUUGGGGGGCAGAUAAGGAGCUUAUAAGGACCCCCCCCGAUGCUCCUUCGACUGGGUUGUGUGGCUGUAUGUUGUGUCUCCACGAAGGACACCCGUAUCCUUUUUUUUCCUUUUUAGAUUUGUUACUUUGGGUUCAAACAACGAGUUGCGGUCCGGAAGUCGGCGCCUGUCCGUCGUUAUUUCUGUCAUCGGCGUCUCUUUGCCAAACGCCGCUUGUUUGAUCAGCUCUUCCUUCCCAUCGGGCCUCCGGCUUUCCAGCUGUCGGGGAGGAAGACCAGCGGAGUUUAUUUUGACGUAGAUGUGAUUCAUCGAGACGAGGUCCGAAAUCCUCGACCUGAACCACACGCAGAAGCUCUGCAGAGGGGAGCGGCUUCAUGCCGCUGCUUUCCAACAGAAACCUUCUUCCCUUUCAAGCACCAGAUCUGAAAUGCUUGUUUUAGUUGUGUUUGGGUAAAACGUAUUGUGCACGUUGGAUUCACUCCUUAGCGAUGCUGCCCAAAAGAACAAAAGGCCGGAUUAACUGCUUCUGUUUUCAGAGCGCGGUUCAGGUGGUUCUCCUCCAGUCUCUGCUUGUGUGCUGCUUCCUCUGCAAACAUGCCUGUUGAUGUGAGAAGUCACAGGAGGUCUGACGGAAGAGACCAACAAACACACACACACGGCAUGUUUCGCCUGGAUGGAUCACGCCAGCGGUCCGAUUGGAGGUGGGAAGGCGCGGCGAUGGUUUUGCUAACGCUUCUUUUGAAGCAUUGAUGGU